rnacentral:rRNA from 1 species
AAUCAACGCUGGCGGCGUGCCUAACACAUGCAAGUCGAACGCGAAAGGGACUUCGGUCCUGAGUAGAGUGGCGAACGGGUGAGUAACGCGUGGGUGAUCUACCCUCGAGUGGGGGAUAACGUUCCGAAAGGGACGCUAAUACCGCAUGAUGUUCCGGGUUUGAAGACCUGGAAACCAAAGCCGGGGACCGCAAGGCCUGGCGCUCAAGGAGGAGCCCGCGUCUGAUUAGCUAGUUGGCGGGGUAAUGGCCCACCAAGGCGACGAUCAGUAGCCGGCCUGAGAGGGCGGACGGCCACACUGGGACUGAGACACGGCCCAGACUCCUACGGGAGGCAGCAGUGGGGAAUUGUUCGCAAUGGGCGCAAGCCUGACGACGCAACGCCGCGUGGAGGAUGAAGG